UAGUGGCGAACGGGUGAGUAACACGUGGGCAAUCUGCCCUUCACUCUGGGACAAGCCCUGGAAACGGGGUCUAAUACCGGAUAUCACUCCUGCAGGCAUCUGCGGGAGUUGAAAGCUCCGGCGGUGAAGGAUGAGCCCGCGGCCUAUCAGCUUGUUGGUGAGGUAAUGGCUCACCAAGGCGACGACGGGUAGCCGGCCUGAGAGGGCGACCGGCCACACUGGGACUGAGACACGGCCCAGACUCCUACGGGAGGCAGCAGUGGGGAAUAUUGCACAAUGGGCGAAAGCCUGAUGCAGCGACGCCGCGUGAGGGAUGACGGCCUUCGGGUUGUAAACCUCUUUCAGCAGGGAAGAAGCGAAAGUGACGGUACCUGCAGAAGAAGCGCCGGCUAACUACGUGCCAGCAGCCGCGGUAAUACGUAGGGCGCAAGCGUUGUCCGGANUUAUUGGGCGUAAAGAGCUCGUAGGCGGCUUGUCACGUCGGGUGUGAAAGCCCGGGGCUUAACCCCGGGUCUGCAUUCGAUACGGGCUAGCUAGAGUGUGGNAGGGGAGAUCGGAUUUCCU
rnacentral:rRNA from 1 species